rnacentral:rRNA from 1 species
UACGAAGGGAGCUAGCGUUGUUCGGAAUCACUGGGCGUAAAGCGCACGUAGGCGGGUUUGUCAGUCAGGGGUGAAAUCCCGGAGCUCAACUCCGGAACUGCCCUUGAUACUGAGAAGCUUGAGUCCGGGAGAGGUGAGUGGAACUGCGAGUGUAGAGGUGAAAUUCGUAGAUAUUCGCAAGAACACCAGUGGCGAAGGCGGCUCACUGGCCCGGUACUGACGCUGAGGUGCGAAAGCGUGGGGAGCAAACA